GCACAGCUUCUUUCUCCUCAUUAGCAAUCUGCAGCAUAGCAAAGAUUUUAUCUUCAUCCAGCAAGCUACCUAGCCAUCUUACUAGUCUUUUUUCUUGUGACAUGAUAAUGAAGAAGAAAAAAAAAACUCUAGUUGUGGGAUCACACAACAAAUGAAUUGGUACGGUAGGUAGGAAAUUAAUUCAUUAAUCUGUUGUACCUUUUUUUCUUUCUUUUUUUCCUUUUUGAAGGUGGUAGGGACUUAAUUCAUUUGAGGACGGAUCAAUAGGCAACAUAUAAGUUUUUCUUUAUGUUUACUUUGCUUCUAUUUAAAGGUUCUUAGCUCAAAAUAUCUCUUUUUUUUUUUCCCUUGCUUUUAUGUUUGAAUUGUGAAGCACUUUCCAGACAAAUGUAUAUGCAUUAAUUUGAGAAAUAUUUCCAACUAGAAAAGGUGUGGACAGUGAUUUGAUUCUCCAAGACAACAUACCAAUUGUUGCAAAAAAAAAACAUGCUUGAAUAAACUUCUGAUUGCUACUAUUUUUUUCAUGCUAUGUUACCUAUAGGCUAUAGCUAGCUUUAAUGACCCUUCAACAAAAAAAAAUCUACAAAGACCCCCUCAAAAAAUAAAAUCUACUACAUCGAUAUUCCUAUUAAUUUAUGGUUUAUUCCCGACACUGUGACAUCAUUGUAGAAUUUUUUUAAGGGUCAUUAAAAUUAAAAUGGUUGUGUCCGUGAGUUUAACUCAGUUAAUAGAGAUAUUGCAUAAUAUAUCUAGAUGUUGGGGUUUGAAUUCCGAACAUUUCACUUAA
rnacentral:lncRNA from 1 species